UACGUAGGGACCAAGCGUUGUUCGGAUUUACUGGGCGUAAAGGGCGCGUAGGCGGCAAUUCAAGUCAGUUGUGAAAUCUCCGAGCUUAACUCGGAACGGUCAACUGAUACUGUUUUGCUAGAGUACAGAAGGGGCAAUCGGAAUUCUUAGUGUAGCGGUGAAAUGCGUAGAUAUCAAGAGGAACACCUGAGGUGAAGACGGGUUGCUGGGCUGAUACUGACGCUGAUGCGCGAAAGCCAGGGGAGCGAACGGG
rnacentral:rRNA from 1 species